UCGGGUUGAAAAGCAUUUUUGUCCGGAAAGAAAUCCUUGGCUCAUAAUACAGUCGGGGGAUGACGGUACCGGAAGAAUAAGCACCGGCAACUACGUGCCAGCAGCCGCGGUAAUACGUAGGGUGCGAGCGUUAAUCGGAAUUACUGGGCGUAAAGCGUGCGCAGGCGGUUUGCUAAGACCGAUGUGAAAUCCCCGGGCUCAACCUGGGAACUGCAUUGGUGACUGGCAGGCUAGAGUAUGGCAGAGGGGGGUAGAAUUCCACGUGUAGCAGUGAAAUGCGUAGAGAUGUGGAGGAAUACCGAUGGCGAAGGCAGCCCCCUGGGCCAAUACUGACGCUCAUGCACGAAAGCGUGGGGAGCAAACAGGAUUAGAUACCCUGGUAGUCCACGCCCUAAACGAUGUCAACUAGUUGUUGGGGAUUCAUUUCCUUAGUAACGUAGCUAACGCGUGAAGUUGACCGCCUGGGGAGUACGGUCGCAAGAUUAAAACUCAAAGGAAUUGACGGGGACCCGCACAAGCGGUGGAUGAUGUGGAUUAAUUCGAUGCAACGCGAAAAACCUUACCUACCCUUGACAUGGUCGGAAUCCUGCUG
rnacentral:rRNA from 1 species